UCGGGAUCAUAACCCUCGUUCUCUUUAGGCUGAACCUUGAGGAACUUGAGCAUCCAUUGCUACCAAUGGUGCACAGAUUUGUCAGUUAAAUCAAUCAUGUCGGCAUUCUGUAAUCAUGUCAGACCUCGUCAUUCUAAGUGAACUGUGGCCGUUAUUUCCACAUUAGUUAUUUGUUAGUUAUGUUUUUGCCUGAAACUUGAUUCUUUGACAAAUACGGUUUAUCUCUUUCAUAAGAUAAACCAAUUUAAUUAAAGAGAAAUAAUUACUGCAUCAUUCGGAUCCGGUUCUCGUCUCCCGCCAAUCAACGUCACAUGACUCGUCAGCAUUACAUUGCACUAGCCACUCUUGUAUCCAGAUAUGUAAAAGUUUCAAAAACCCACCCACCUCCCCUUGCAAUCUCCCAUCUAAUAACAAUUCUUGUGUCUGCUGCUGUUUUAUUUAUCUUUUCAGAAUGACAAGAACAGGCUGGAUCUAUAUUUUUUGGACAAAAAAGAGGAGACAAACAAGCCGAUGGAUUUGCUAGCUGAAUCAUACGUUCGAGAACUAUAUAUGUCAAUGCUAAUUUUCAUGAAUGGCUACCACCUUUAUCUAAAUAUUCAGACACCAGCAGUGUCAGAAUGGAAUUAUCAAUACCUGCUAUUAGUUCUUCGCCU
rnacentral:lncRNA from 1 species